rnacentral:rRNA from 1 species
UCGAGGAUCUUCGGCAAUGGGCGAAAGCCUGACCGAGCGACGCCGCGUGGGCGAUGAAGGCCUUCGGGUUGUAAAGCCCUGUCGAGAGAGAGAAAAGGGCAACCUUGAUCGAUCUCUGGAGGAAGCACGGGCUAAGUUCGUGCCAGCAGCCGCGGUAAGACGAACCGUGCGAACGUUGUUCGGAAUCACUGGGCUUAAAGGGCGCGUAGGCGGGCCGACAAGUCCGGGGUGAAAGCCCCCAGCUCAACUGGGGAAGCGCCUUGGAUACUUUUGGCCUGGAGGGAGGUAGGGGCGUGCGGAACUUCCGGUGGAGCGGUGAAAUGCGUAGAUAUCGGAAGGAACACCGGUGGCGAAAGCGGCGCGCUGGACCUCUUCUGACGCUGAUGCGCGAAAGCCAGGGGAGCAAACGG